UGGAGCUGGAGAUCAAGGUAAGUAGCUUCUUCUUCUUCUUCUUCUUUGGUGGCUGGCGACAGGUUUUAAGUAAAAGAAACCCUAUUUUUUCUUUAAAUGCGCUUGGACUCUAUCGGGCGUGCCUAGGCGCGCCUUGCACCUCGCUGUGCCUGGGUGAUGUCUUGGGCCUCUGUCUCUUUCAGGCGCCACCAGCUGCGCCCCUGGCGCCCUGCGCCUCAGGCGUGCCUUUGAUAACAGUGGGCAGGAGAGAUAAGGGAUUUGAGGGCAAUUUUGCUAUUUAAUCUAUCAUUAAUGGUAAAAUAGAUGGAGGGAUCUUCAAUUUUGACGAAAUUAAAAUUGAGAGACUAAAUAGUUCAAUUUCCAAAAUGCUGGGACCAAAUCGUAAUAUUGGUCAAACUCAGGGACUAAAUAGUAAAUGUCCCUAAUUUUAUUAAGUUAACAUAGUGAUGAAUGCUCUGCCAGAAAGUAAACAAAUUAAGUGUGAUAGAUUCAAAAUUUGUCUUGCUUUUAACUGCUUUUGUUUUUUUGGUUGCAAAAUUAACUUCUAACAUGUACUUUAUUAAAUAAUUGGCAACUUCUCAAGUGCCUUAUUAUAUGAAUCUUUAAAGAGUAAUGUGCAUCUCCAUGUCCUUGAUUACUGCACAUAAGAUCUCCAAAACUUUUGAUAUGUUUAUAGGUUGUGCCAUAUGAAAAGCCCUUUGGUUUUAGUUGUGCUUUUGUGAAGAUAAACUUCUUUGACACCCAUCAUCUACAGGAUGAUCUCUCUUUGUCUCUCUCUCACAUGUGUGGCAUGCACUCACUCACACAUGUAUGCAUUCUUAAAUGUUCAUUCUAUAUGAAAUAGAAACAAAAGAAUGAAAAAAGAUAAUAUCAAUUGAUAAGAUGUGCAUAGCAAUCAAUCAUUGCGGCUAAUGUGUAUUUCAUAUCAUUCUUGCAGAAGCUGCUCAAUCUUGCAAAGU
rnacentral:misc_RNA from 1 species